rnacentral:lncRNA from 1 species
GGUAGUAGUUAAAAGGGGGCUUAAAAACAUCCAAUGAUACAAUUUUCAAUAGCAAGUUGGGUGAAAGGCUUUGAAUAAAUUAAGGUGUGUUCACUAAUAAAUCAUGUAACUGGUAUACAUGAAGACAAGAUGUUUACAAUCCUUAUUUCAAUCAUAUGUAGCUUAGAACAUCCUUAAUAUAAAGUGUAGAUUGUUCAAAUAUUUGUUCUUUAAUGCUAUAAACUAAUUUAUCACUAUUUUUUUUGUCAAACAAACCCUAAAUUUGCUAUAUAAGACGAAUUAAGGGGGAUGCAAAUUAUACAUGCUACAAAACAGCUCUGAUGAUGAUUAUUAAGUAGCUCUGGUCAUGAUAUUACACAUGGUUGCUUUGAAAUUGAGAUUCUAAUAGUACAACCAAAUAAUAGGAUACAAGUAAUUUGAAUUUUGAAUAAACCCCUUAAAUAAAAAAAAAAUAUUAAAUACUCCCUCUAAACACUAUUAUAAACAAAAAAUCACUUUUUAAUUUCAUUAAAAAAGUAAUGUAUUUAGUCUAUAUUACUGACCAUAUAACUAAUUUUUCAUUGAAUUUAAAAAAUGAUUUUAUUUAUUUAUUUAUUUAUUUAUUUUUAUAAUAAUGACAGAAGAGAUGAUUAAGUAAUGUUCCGCAAAUUUGAGAUUUUCCAUGUAUUUUUUUAUUUAUUUAUGGAUAAUGAUAUGCUCCGCCUCCACCUGGGCCAGUAGUAGGAUAACCGCCAACAUAAGUGUUUUGGAAAAGUUUUCGUCCUGCGCCAUAAUAAUU